rnacentral:rRNA from 1 species
UACGUAGGGAGCAAGCGUUGUUCGGAUUACUGGGCGUAAAGGGCGCGUAGGCGGCGCGGUAAGUCACUUGUGAAAUCUCUGAGCUUAACUCAGAACGGCCAAGUGAUACUGCAGUGCUAGAGUGCAGAAGGGGCAAUCGGAAUUCUUGGUGUAGCGGUGAAAUGCGUAGAUAUCAAGAGGAACACCUGAGGUGAAGACGGGUGCUAGGCUGACACUGACGCUGAGGCGCGAAGCCGGGGAGCAAACGGG